AUUUAAAUAGCUUAAAUAUUUAGAGCAUAAUAUUGAAGAUAUUAGGGUGAUUGAUAAAUCUUUAGAUA
rnacentral:tRNA from 1 species